GAUGUAGUCCACCAAUGAGACGCCGGAAGGACACUAGGGCGGGCCAAUGGGCGCGCGGCGUAGGGGCAGGGCUGGAGGCUAGCAGGGGGCGGGGCCGGUCUCUAGGCAGCGGCAUCUGGGGUGGGGUGCCUAAGAUGCUCUACUACUUAGGCAGUGAAAGCACCUGCUGGGUCGGACGGAGUGCCUGAGCCGCGCCGCCGCCGCCCCCUCCCGCCGGGACCUGUCGCAGCCGCCAGCGCCACCGACCCGCGGUAACCAUGUGUGACCGCAAGGCGGAAAUCAAAAAUGCGGACAUGUCAGAGGAGAUGCAGCAGAACUCGGUGGAGUGUGCCACCCAGGCCCUGGAGAAGUAUAACAUAGAGAAGGACAUGGCAGCCCAUAUCAAGAAGGUGAGGAGUGUGGAGUCUUAGGACAACAGCAAGAUGUCCAACCUGGGAACCAAGUGGCAGAUUGCUCUGGCUUGGUGUUUGAGGCAUCUUCCAGCCUAGGAAAGACUGUUUUGUGGAGAGGCUCAUGGCAGUGCAGACUUGGUGACUGGAUGAGAGGGCUGGCCAGAGCUCAGCAACCUGAGUCCAGGCCCUCACUGAGAUUUGAUCAUGGGUCUCUGAGUUGGGUUGUACAUGGAGAGUCUGGAAUUCCACCCCUUCCUUAGACUCCUGGCACUUUGGUACAAAAUCACUGAAUCCCUCUGAGUCUUAAAUGAAGAUGAAAAAGCCUGCAGUAAAAUUGACCUCACAGGGCAACUGAAAAGGGAUGCGAUGGGAAGAAGAGGAGUAGCCAUGGAAAGAUGAGUCAUGCCAAUGAGAUUGGUCCAGACUGGCAGGAACAAUGGGGGAAGAUCGGCAAGGGCACCAUUCCAGGGCCCAGCUCAAAGAGUUUUCCUUUCCCUUGCCAAUAUAUUGAAAAUACGUCAAUAAAGGCAUCUAUGUAUGUGUGUUUUUUGAGCA